rnacentral:rRNA from 1 species
GAUGAACGCUGGCGGCGUGCCUAAUACAUGCAAGUCGAGCGAACAGACGAGGAGCUUGCUCCUCGGACGUUAGCGGCGGACGGGUGUGUAACACGUGGAUAACCUACCUAUAAUACUGGGAUAACUUCGGGAAACCGGAUCUAAUACCGGAGAAUAUAUUGAACCGCGUGGUUCAAUAGUGAAAGACGGUUUUGCUGGCACUUAUAGAUGGAUCCGCGCCGUAUUAGCUAGUUGGUAAGGUAACGGCUUACCAAGGCAACGAUGCGUGGCCGACCUGAGGGGGUGAUCGCCCACAGUGGAACUGAGCCACGGUCCAGACUCCUACGGGAGGCACCAGUAGGGAAUGUUACGCAAAGGGCGAAAGCCUGACGGAGCAACGGCGCGUGAGUGAUGAAGGUCUUCGGAUCGUAAAGCUCUGUUACUAGGGAAGAACCAAUGUGUAAGUAAACAUGCACGUCUUGACGGUACCUAGUCAGAAAGCCACGGCUAACUACGUG